ACUCCUAUGAGGCACCUCCCCCACCCAAAAAUCUGUUCUUAUCAGCUUAAUNUAAUAUCUGAUACGUUACUCAUAGAGUAACUAGAUAUUAAACUAAUUUUUGGACAGCGUCUCUCAGCUUCGAAUUUAUUCGAUGAGAAGACACGGAUUGGGUCCACCAUAU